rnacentral:misc_RNA from 1 species
CAAAUCAAAGUAUGGGGAGUAGUUGGGUUAGUUUAUUAGGCAGCUUUGCUUGGUAGGCUGGCACCGCUGCACCCAUACACAUUGGCACAGGGCCGAAAGGCUCUGAUGUUUACGCUUGUUUGUUUGACAGAUUUAUUGAGACUAAAAUAUAGA